rnacentral:rRNA from 1 species
GACGAACGCUGGCGGCGUGCUUAACACAUGCAAGUCGAACGAAGUGGCGCACGGGUGAAUAACGCGUAAUCCACCUGCCCUUCAGAGGGGGACAACAGUUGGAAACGACUGCUAAUACCGCAUACUGAAGGAGGGGAUUGCGUCUGAUUCGCUAGUUGGAGGGGUCACGGCCCAACAAGGCGAUGAUCAGUAGGCGGUCUGAGAGGGUGAACGGCCACAAUGGGACUGAGAAACGGCCCAAACUCCUACGGGAGGCAGCAGUUGGGAAUCUUCCGAAAUGGACGAAAGUCUGACGGAGCAACGCCGCGUGGGUGAUGACGGCCUUCGGGUUGUAAAGCUCUGUUAAUCGGGACGCGGUACCGGAAUAGAAAGCCACGGCUAACUACGUGCCAGCAGCCGCGGUAAUAC